rnacentral:rRNA from 1 species
AAUGAACGCUGGCGGCGUGGAUUAGGCAUGCAAGUCGAGCGAGAAGUUUUAAAAAGAUACUUCGGUUGAUUUUUAAAAUGGACAGCGGCGAAAGGGAGAGUAACGAGUAGGUACGUACCCAGGGGUUCGGGAUAGCCAUGCGAAAGCGUGCGUAAUACCGAAUAAUGUCUCCGGACCAAAGAUUUAUUGCCCUUGGAGCGGUUUGCUUACUAUUAGCUUGUUGGUGGGGUAAAGGCCUACCAAGGCUUAGAUGGUUGGCGGGUGUGAGAGCAUGACCCGUCUCACUGGGACUGAGACACUGCCCAGACACCUACGGGUGGCUGCAGUCGAGAAUCUUCCGCAAUGGACGAAAGUCUGACGGAGCGACGCCGCGUGCUGGAUGAAGGCCCUCGGGUUGUGAACAGCUGUCGUAGGGGAGGAAAUUUUGACCGAUCCUAGGAGGAAGCACAGGCUAAGUUCGUGCCAGCAGCCGCGGUAAUACGAACUGUGCAAACGUUAUUCGGAAUCACUGGGCUUAAAGGGUGCGUAGGCGGACUUGUUGGUCAGGUGUGAAAUCCCACGGCUCAACCGUGGAAUUGCGCUUGAAACCACUCGUC